AAGAGAAAAGGAAGUUCGCUUCCGGGACUUCGGUCCUCACUCUUCACCCUUUGUUUAUCUAUCUUCGUUGCUUUGGCGGGCUUCUCGAUUGAAGAAGUCUUGAUUAGCCCGCCAAAGGUUUUUUGAAACUUCAUUUUUUUUGCUGUCUGAUCAAUUUAUUUAAUAAUCA
rnacentral:misc_RNA from 1 species